CCUACGGGUGGCAGCAGUGGGGGAUAUUGCACAAUGGGGGGAACCCUGAUGCAGCGACGCCGCGUGGGUGAAGGAGUGCUUCGGCAUGUAAAGCCCUAUCGGCAGGGAAGAAGCAAGACGGUACCUGACUAAGAAGCCCCGGCUAACUACGUGCCAGCAGCCGCGGUAAUACGUAGGGGGCGAGCGUUAUCCGGAUUCACUGGGUGUAAAGGGAGCGUAGACGGCCAUGCAAGCCAGGGGUGAAAGCCCGGGGCCCAACCCCGGGACUGCCCUGGGAACUGGGCGGCUAGAGUGCGGGAGGGGAAGGUGGAAUUCCUGGUGUAGCGGUGAAAUGCGUAGAUAUCAGGAGGAACACCGGCGGCGAAGGCGGCUUGCUGGACUGUGACUGACGUUGAGGCUCGAAAGCGUGGGGAGCGAACAGGAUUAGAUACCCGUGUAGUC
rnacentral:rRNA from 1 species